UUUCCUUAAUCUCAAUUAAUUUGAAAUUCAAGCCCCCAAACCCUUAAUUAGAAAUCCCCAAGGCUGGCGAUCUACCAUUCCUAAAAGUGCAUUGCUAGCUGUGUCGCUCUGUCCCAGUGGUCCUCUUGCUUCACGCCAAUGCCAGUCCCCCCCCAUCCCCCGGUAGUGGCAGCCUUCCAUGGUUUGCUGCGUACAGUGCAGUGGUCACAGAGACACUGUGAAGCCACCCACUUGUGUCCGGAGUGGAAAGAAAUAGGGCUCACAGUUCCGGGAAACCCUGUCCAAGAUGAGAGAGAAAACAGUCAUUUAAACCAAUAACUAUACACAUCUUUGGGGGAAAAGUUCUUGGACAGACACAAGUCAAACACAAUCCCGAGAGACGCUUGUGGCAAAAAAGAGGGGGAAACAAAAACAAAAACAAACCAUCUGAAUGAAUGUCCCUCAUGCCUCUAUGGGACUGGCCACCAUGCUGUUGGGUGUAUCUGGGAGCUGAGAGGACAUCGAAGCCACUUCACUUCCAGUGGAAUUAGAGCCAGG